AAUGCCAUAUUCAGAUUACCCAGCGGGAAUACGUUCAACGGCACUCACAGCGCAGAUUUUCUAAGUUUUAAGCACUCGGAGAUAGUUUGGAGAGUAGCCCUCUCGCAUUUAGUUUCAUGUUUUGUUACUUCUGUUUGGAUGCAAAAGAAGUUAUUUGCGGAGCUCUUCCUGGAUAACGACGAGGGGAGCGCCACACAAGAAGUCAGUUUUAACGCACCGAAUUACGACUUUUUUUUAACUGCCUCUUAAUUCAUAAUAAACAAUUUAAGAAAUGUG